AUGGGUGAAGCACAAUUUAGUGACCACAAGGACUCUGGCACAUCAGAAGUGCUAUUGCUAGAAGGGCUGGCUGAAGUGGUUCUACCAAGGGAAGGGACAGUAUUUGAGAGAAGGAGCAGCAAUACCCAGGAAAGACAAAUUGGUGAGGAUGCUGUACCAAGGAUACCUGGUUCAGUGAGUAAUGGAGAGGAUUCAAUCCCAGGAAUAACUGCAGAGACUCAUCAGCAACAUGACCUCAGUAAUGCUCUGUCAUAUGGAUGCGCUAUAGGUCCCUUCACCAACUUCAUAUUUUUGACUGAUUAUAUUUUUUCUAACUAUAUGACAAUAUAUCCUGUGUCUCUACCCAGGAGUAGAAAGCUUAAGAAGGAAAAAAAAAGUUUUUCUUCCAUUUUUGAAUCUAGAGGGGGCUGCUCCAUAAUAAUAAACUGCUGUAAGAUCCUGGCUUGUCCUGUCAGUGUCAUUGGCUUCCGGUUGAGGAAAAUUCCUUCAGUUAUUUUCUUAGAUUACCUGGAAAUCUUCAUUUUGGUGCUGAUGUUGCUUUAUUUUUUUCCUAUGUCUUCCGAAGUAUUUAAAUAGAUUUGAAGAGAAACUGAUUAAGGGACUGCUAGCUAUCAGAAAAUUGGGCACUGGUAUUAAGCCACAAUUUGGAUAAUCAUUCCAAUUUUUUUCCUCUAAUUGAAAUGUGCCUGUGUUUAUUUUGCAACUCUUAAGUCAUACUUCUCUAUUAAAUUACCACAUUCCCCCAGUUUCCACAAUUCAAAGUAUUUCAAUUAAUGAGAGGAAAAUUAAUUUUUCAUGGGAAUCGUGAUGCUCAAACUUUUAUUUAUUUUAAAAAAGCCCUGAGAAGAUAAAAGAAAAUGUUUAUUUAGUAUCUGUUAUGGGUUGUCUACUGCUAUUUAAUUCUCAUCAUUAAUCCCAUUUUAUAGUAUGUAAACCAAAGAAUAAGUAAUUUUUAAGGUAAAUAAUGGCAAAUAAUACAGCCAGAACUUGUCGCAAGGUCUCAGUGAUUCCAAAAUCCACAUUUUUUCCAACACAUCAUGUAACCUUCUCAAGAAUGUAAGAAAAACAGAGUAACUUGCAUAAUCAUAUGAUAAACAAAAGCUUUAACAGAGGAAUUUUACAGAAUGAGAGAUUUAUGUUGGGUCUUUAGACUUACAAAAAAAGGUCAGAAAAGUUGAGCCAACAAUAGUUUUUGUUAAAAAUUAAUUAUUGGGGCCUCUCCAGUUGAUCAUUUCUCCUCGGUGACAAUCCUAAAUCUACUAGGAGGGCCAGAUUGUCAAGAUUAUACCUAUUAUUUUACCCACAUAAGCACACAGAUAAGAAGGUACUUGAAACUUUCUAAUUUAUAUUUCCUUUCACGUAACUGUCCUUUCACUGUCAAGGGAAUUUAUAAGAGUUAACAAGGUAAUGACAGUGCAAAAAAUCUAUCUCUGGUUCUAUACUCUGUUCAAUGAAGUGCAUGUGUCUGUGUGUGCUUGCAUAUGCGUCUGUGUGUCUCUGUGUUAUUUUGUUUUUUAGUUUCAGAAGACAAGUUCUGCCUUCCAGAAGGUUCUGGGUU
rnacentral:lncRNA from 1 species